ensembl:lncRNA
GCUGAAGGUAUCCCCAGUGGGAAUUGAACCCCAGACAUUUGCGUAAGAAACCUGUUGUGUCUACCAUUAGACAAAGAGGAUCUGCUGAAUAUAUAAGGGAAAACAAAGUGCUUAUAAUGGGCAGGGUUUAAAUGGGCAAUGCUAUGUACUGUAACUGUUAAGACAAAUUAAAUUACAUUUCUGUCACAUUCAUCCUUUGGAGCAUCCCUCACAGCUGGGAGACCUGGCACUGGGCACCAUCCUUGUACUUGGGAAUUUAAUCCCAAUCUACAGCUUGAGAGUCUCUGCAUUUACCUACAAACCUACCUGGAAUACCCUAGACCACAGUCCCCAGAGUGGCUUCUCAAGCACUGCACAUUUAACAGCUAGAACAUGAUAUUAAAUAACUUCUGACCUACUCUUUAGAUUGUUAGACAUUCAGUAAUUCUUUGUAAUUGGUAUCAAACUUAUGGUGGACUUGCAGUUUUACAAUGUAUUCCACAAAUCAUGCAGACAGAUAUGCAGAACUAGGGAGUGUUCAGCAGAAUAGGCAUGUCAUGGAUUAAAGACAACAUAUCUUGAGUAAUUAUUGCACGACCAUAUGAGAUCAAUCUGGAAUAUACUGCUCCGGGGAAAAAUUAAGAGACCACUGCACCUUUUUCUUUCCUGUUCCUCACUCAAGCCCCUGGGUGCCAUUAGGGUGAAGGGAGACAAAGAAGUGAGGUUCAGGCUGUCAGCAGGGGUUUAUUUUAAAAUAAACCAGACACAAAUGAAGUAAUCGAAGUACCUGCCCAUCCUGAAAUAUUAAUUGUGAACAAAGUCCAUGUUCCGUUCACUGCGUAGGUGAUCAGUUUUAAAAGAUGUGGAAAACUGAUUUAUUUUACUCACCAUGAUACACUCCUGUUUAGAUUAGAUUCAACUUUAUAGUCACUUGAAGAGAACGAGUACACUGCAAUGAAAUGUAGUUAGCAUCUAACCAGAAGUGCAAAUAGAAGAGGGCAGGACAUUUACAAGUAUUAAGUAUAAUGUAUGUUACAAGUGGAAUGUAAAUGUGCAAUCAAGGCAAAUACAGUGCAAAAUGGCAAUUCUAAAUGAGCAAUGAAGUCAAAUACGGGAGGGCAGAAAAUGUACGAGAGAAUUUACAUGAAUAGUAGAGCGAUG